UAGGGAAUCUUCCGCAAUGGGCGAAAGCCUGACGGAGCAACGCCGCGUGAGUGAUGAAGGUCUUCGGAUCGUAAAACUCUGUUAUUAGGGAAGAACAAAUGUGUAAGUAACUAUGCACGUCUUGACGGUACCUAAUCAGAAAGCCACGGCUAACUACGUGCCAGCAGCCGCGGUAAUACGUAGGUGGCAAGCGUUAUCCGGAAUUAUUGGGCGUAAAGCGCGCGUAGGCGGUUUUUUAAGUCUGAUGUGAAAGCCCACGGCUCAACCGUGGAGGGUCAUUGGAAACUGGAAAACUUGAGUGCAGAAGAGGAAAGUGGAAUUCCAUGUGUAGCGGUGAAAUGCGCAGAGAUAUGGAGGAACACCAGUGGCGAAGGCGACUUUCUGGUCUGUAACUGACGCUGAUGGGCGAAAGCGUGGGGAUCAAACAGG
rnacentral:rRNA from 1 species